rnacentral:rRNA from 1 species
CCUACGGGGGGCAGCAGUGGGGGAUAUUGCACAAUGGGGGGAACCCUGAUGCAGCGACGCCGCGUGGGCGAUGGAGUACUUCGGCAUGUAAAGCCCUAUCAGCAGGGAAGAAAAUGACGGUACCUGACUAAGAAGCCCCGGCUAAAUACGUGCCAGCAGCCGCGGUAAUACGGAGGAUGCGAGCGUUAUCCGGAUUUAUUGGGUUUAAAGGGUGCGCAGGCGGAUUUUUAAGUCAGCGGUCAAAUCGUGGGGCUCAACCCCAUCCAGCCGUUGAAACUGGGGAUCUAGAGUGUGCGAGAGGUAUG